ACCCCGCGUCAUAUCAUCCAACACUUUCCUUUCAUGCCUUACUCAACACACUCCCACAUCCGACGUUCAUCUCUCUCCAAUGUCGAUCCACACAUUUCUCUCUUCAAUGUCGACCAUAACUGAAUCAAUCGCUAUAUUUUCUUCGGCUCCAACUUCAUAUUGCCGGACGCUGGUCAUGUCACGGUGGGUGCGUUGCCGGAACUCAUGGGCUUGAGGGCUGACUGCCUCACAAAAAAAUCGCUCGCUUCCUCCAUUUUCCAAAAGCCCGGCGUAAUCCAUCAGCUGCCGCCAUUGUUUCCCAAGCUUAGGACACCACUAUCGAUGGACUUCCUCAAUGGCUGAGGCAAGGAUAACUUGGGCAAGUUGAUGCUCAAAGACCAAUUCAAGUCCAACAUUUGGGUCAGGCAGGCUGUGGGCCAAUCCAACUUACCUUCCUUAGGUUUGUGUCAAAUAAGAGUUGCGAAGGUUGGAAAUGUGGGCAGGCUGGACUAACAACUUUUAUACAAAGUGGAUGCUCUCAUUGUCCAUAAGAAAAUAUGGGUUUGUUGGUAGAAAACCCCGCGGAACUUAUGUCUCCCACUUCGCUAAAUAUUCAAUUAAACUGAGGACUUGAUUCCUAUUGGCAGCUGAAUUAUAAAGAGGAAAUGGGGUGGAAGGACUUCCUCAAUGGCUGAGGCAAGGAUAACUUGGGCAAGUUGAUGCUCAAAGACCAAUUCAAGUCCAACAUUUGGGUCAGGCAGGCUGUGGGCCAAUCCAACUUACCUUCCUUAGGUUUGUGUCAAAUAAGAGUUGCGAAGGUUGGAAAUGUGGGCAGGCUGGACUAACAACUUUUAUACAAAGUGGAUGCUCUCAUUGUCCAUGAGAAAAUAUGGGUUUGUUGGUAGAAAACCCCGUGGAACUUAUGUCUCCCACUUCGCUAAAUAUUCAAUCAAACUGAGGACUUGAUUCCUAUUGGCAGCUGAAUUAUAAAGAGGAAAUGGGGUGGAAGGGAAUUCUGCCAUGGAUUUUACCAGUGGAUUGCUAUCAUAACUGAGAAGCCAUAAGCUGCCUCCUUUUGCUGGAAAGAAGAGGACGUUGUGAAUAAAUCACAGAUUCACAGUACAAUAACGUAACAUGUGGACCCAUUGAGCACCAUAACAGGUUAAAUCGUUCGACAUGAUUAUUCGGGAUGCUGUGAGUUUGAGGAGGAAGGUCCUAACCACCAAAGCAUUCCACUACUUGCGAUACAAACAGAUAGUUGCGUGCAAAAGUUCUUAUAUUCCGAACGAAAAGAUAGAGACAACGUUGUUAACCAACUUUGGAAUGAAAGGGAAUGAAAGAUUUUGCAAA